CCCGUAUACUUACGGGAGGGGGUCCCUCACUCCUUUUGAGACUUUAAUUUUAUAAAUAUAAAUAUAAAUAUAACAAGAUGUUAACUCUUUUAUAAAUAAAUAAUAAAUAUAAUUCUAUUUUUAAUAAUAAUAUAUAAUAUUUUUAUAAUAAAAUAUAUAAAUAAUAAUAUUUAUAUAUAUAUAUAUACUUUUUUUUUUAUAUAAGAAUAAUAUAUAUAGUCCACAUUGGAGGCGAGUGAAAGGAGAUAAGAAAUAUAAUAUAAUAUAAUAAUAAAAAUAUAAUGAAUAAUAAUAAUAAAAAUUUAUAUAAUAAAAAAAUAGUCCGGGCCGCCCCCCGCGGGGGGGGAGGCGGACCCCGAAGGAGUCGGAGUCCGACCGAAGGAGAUGAGAUUAUUAAUAUUAUUAAAUAAUAAAAUGUAUUAAUUAUAAAAUAUAAAACCUAUAAAUAAUUUAUAAUAUAAUUUAUAUUAUGAUAAUAAUAAUAUAUAUAUUAUAAUAUUUUAUAUAUAUAUUUAUUAUAUUUAUAUUUAUAUAAAAAAGUGAUAUUGAUUAAUUUAAUUAAUUUAUAAUUAAUAAUUAUUAAUAUAGUCCGGCCGAAGGAGUGAGGGACCCCUCCCUAUUCUAACGGGAGGGGGACCGAACCCCUUUUAUCUUUAAUUAAGAAGGAGUGAGGGACCCCUCCCUAUUCUAAUGGGAGGGGGACCGAACCCCGAAGGAGUUUAUUAUAUAUAUUAAAUAAGAUUUAUAAUAUAAUUAAUAUAUAUUUUAAUAAAUAUAAAAGAUUAUAUUAUAUUAUAAAAAGUAUAUUUUAUAUUUAUAUUUAUAUAUAUAUUUUAUUUAUUAUUAUUAUAUAUAUAAGUAGUAAAAAGUAGAAUAAUAGAUUUGAAAUAUUUAUUAUAUAGAUUUAAAGAGAUAAUCAUGGAGUAUAAUAAUUAAAUUUAAUAAAUUUAAUAUAACUAUUAAUAGAAUUAGGUUACUAAUAAAUUAAUAACAAUUAAUUUUAAAACCUAAAGGUAAACCUUUAUAUUAAUAAUGUUAUUUUUUAUUAUUUUUAUAAUAAGAAUAAUUAUUAAUAAUAAUAAACUAAGUGAACUGAAACAUCUAAGUAACUUAAGGAUAAGAAAUCAACAGAGAUAUUAUGAGUAUUGGUGAGAGAAAAUAAUAAAGGUCUAAUAAGUAUUAUGUGAAAAAAAUGUAAGAAAAUAGGAUAACAAAUUCUAAGACUAAAUACUAUUAAUAAGUAUAGUAAGUACCGUAAGGGAAAGUAUGAAAAUGAUUAUUUUAUAAGCAAUCAUGAAUAUAUUAUAUUAUAUUAAUGAUGUACCUUUUGUAUAAUGGGUCAGCAAGUAAUUAAUAUUAGUAAAACAAUAAGUUAUAAAUAAAUAGAAUAAUAUAUAUAUAUAAAAAAAUAUAUUAAAAUAUUUAAUUAAUAUUAAUUGACCCGAAAGCAAACGAUCUAACUAUGAUAAGAUGGAUAAACGAUCGAACAGGUUGAUGUUGCAAUAUCAUCUGAUUAAUUGUGGUUAGUAGUGAAAGACAAAUCUGGUUUGCAGAUAGCUGGUUUUCUAUGAAAUAUAUGUAAGUAUAGCCUUUAUAAAUAAUAAUUAUUAUAUAAUAUUAUAUUAAUAUUAUAUAAAGAAUGGUACAGCAAUUAAUAUAUAUUAGGGAACUAUUAAAGUUUUAUUAAUAAUAUUAAAUCUCGAAAUAUUUAAUUAUAUAUAAUAAAGAGUCAGAUUAUGUGCGAUAAGGUAAAUAAUCUAAAGGGAAACAGCCCAGAUUAAGAUAUAAAGUUCCUAAUAAAUAAUAAGUGAAAUAAAUAUUAAAAUAUUAUAAUAUAAUCAGUUAAUGGGUUUGACAAUAACCAUUUUUUAAUGAACAUGUAACAAUGCACUGAUUUAUAAUAAAUAAAAAAAAUAAUAUUUAAAAUCAAAUAUAUAUAUAUUUGUUAAUAGAUAAUAUACGGAUCUUAAUAAUAAGAAUUAUUUAAUUCCUAAUAUGGAAUAUUAUAUUUUUAUAAUAAAAAUAUAAAUACUGAAUAUCUAAAUAUUAUUAUUACUUUUUUUUUUAAUAAUAAUAAUAUGGUAAUAGAACAUUUAAUGAUAAUAUAUAUUAGUUAUUAAUUAAUAUAUGUAUUAAUUAAAUAGAGAAUGCUGACAUGAGUAACGAAAAAAAGGUAUAAACCUUUUCACCUAAAACAUAAGGUUUAACUAUAAAAGUACGGCCCCUAAUUAAAUUAAUAAGAAUAUAAAUAUAUUUAAGAUGGGAUAAUCUAUAUUAAUAAAAAUUUAUCUUAAAAUAUAUAUAUUAUUAAUAAUUAUAUUAAUUAAUUAAUAAUAUAUAUAAUUAUAUUAUAUAUUAUAUUUUUAUAUAUAAUAUAUAUAAUAUAAACUAAUAAAGAUCAGGAAAUAAUUAAUGUAUACCGUAAUGUAGACCGACUCAGGUAUGUAAGUAGAGAAUAUGAAGGUGAAUUAGAUAAUUAAAGGGAAGGAACUCGGCAAAGAUAGCUCAUAAGUUAGUCAAUAAAGAGUAAUAAGAACAAAGUUGUACAACUGUUUACUAAAAACACCGCACUUUGCAGAAACGAUAAGUUUAAGUAUAAGGUGUGAACUCUGCUCCAUGCUUAAUAUAUAAAUAAAAUUAUUUAACGAUAAUUUUAUUAAAUUUAGGUAAAUAGCAGCCUUAUUAUGAGGGUUAUAAUGUAGCGAAAUUCCUUGGCCUAUAAUUGAGGUCCCGCAUGAAUGACGUAAUGAUACAACAACUGUCUCCCCUUUAAGCUAAGUGAAAUUGAAAUCGUAGUGAAGAUGCUAUGUACCUUCAGCAAGACGGAAAGACCCUAUGCAGCUUUACUGUAAUUAGAUAGAUCGAAUUAUUGUUUAUUAUAUUCAGCAUAUUAAGUAAUCCUAUUAUUAGGUAAUCGUUUAGAUAUUAAUGAGAUACUUAUUAUAAUAUAAUGAUAAUUCUAAUCUUAUAAAUAAUUAUUAUUAUUAUUAUUAAUAAUAAUAAUAAUAUGCUUUCAAGCAUAGUGAUAAAACAUAUUUAUAUGAUAAUCACUUUACUUAAUAGAUAUAAUUCUUAAGUAAUAUAUAAUAUAUAUUAUAUAUAUAUUAUAUAUAAUAUAAGAGACAAUCUCUAAUUGGUAGUUUUGAUGGGGCGUCAUUAUCAGCAAAAGUAUCUGAAUAAGUCCAUAAAUAAAUAUAUAAAAUUAUUGAAUAAAAAAAUAAUAUAUAUUAUAUAUAUUAAUUAUAAAUUGAAAUAUGUUUAUAUAAAUUUAUAUUUAUUGAAUAUAUUUUAGUAAUAGAUAAAAAUAUGUACAGUAAAAUUGUAAGGAAAACAAUAAUAACUUUCUCCUCUCUCGGUGGGGGUUCACACCUAUUUUUAAUAGGUGUUCACCCCUCUUCGGGGUUCCGGUUCCCUUUCGGGUCCCGGAACUUAAAAAUAAUUAUGGAAAGAAUUAAAUUAAUAUAAUGGUAUAACUGUGCGAUAAUUGUAACACAAACGAGUGAAACAAGUACGUAAGUAUGGCAUAAUGAACAAAUAACACUGAUUGUAAAGGUUAUUGAUAACGAAUAAAAGUUACGCUAGGGAUAACAGGGUAAUAUAACGAAAGAGUAGAUAUUGUAAGUUAUGUUUGCCACCUCGAUGUCGACUCAACAUUUCCUCUUGGUUGUAAAAGCUAAGAAGGGUUUGACUGUUCGUCAAUUAAAAUGUUACGUGAGUUGGGUUAAAUACGAUGUGAAUCAGUAUGGUUCCUAUCUGCUGAAGGAAAUAUUAUCAAAUUAAAUCUCAUUAUUAGUACGCAAGGACCAUAAUGAAUCAACCCAUGGUGUAUCUAUUGAUAAUAAUAUAAUAUAUUUAAUAAAAAUAAUACUUUAUUAAUAUAUUAUCUAUAUUAGUUUAUAUUUUAAUUAUAUAUUAUCAUAGUAGAUAAGCUAAGUUGAUAAUAAAUAAAUAUUGAAUACAUAUUAAAUAUGAAGUUGUUUUAAUAAGAUAAUUAAUCUGAUAAUUUUAUACUAAAAUUAAUAAUUAUAGGUUUUAUAUAUUAUUUAUAAAUAAAUAUAUUAUAAUAAUAAUAAUUAUUAUUAUUAAUAAAAAAUAU
rnacentral:rRNA from 1 species